rnacentral:lncRNA from 1 species
GUUAGAUAGGGUAGAGGCAGAAGUAGAGGCAAUUAAACAUGAAGGAUUGUGAAGGCAAAAGAUGAACCAGCCAGCUGUAGUCUCUGGAUGCAUAAAUGGAGAAGACCCGGAGAGAAAAACUGACGUUCUCUGUGUUUACCUGUAAGCACAGGUAAGUACAGAACCUUCUGGGAGAGCCCACUGAUUUUGGUGGCAACAGCCUUCUUCAAGUGAAGAUGGGAGGGAGUGAGCCUGCAUCUUUAAGGAUCACACAAUCUCAUUUUAAUUAUUAACUCGCUGCAUUAUUAACGGACCAGCUGUGUGCAGCAGAAAACCAAGGGUCAGAACUCCAGGCCAAAGAUCCAUUCCUGGUGCCACCUCCAGCCCAGCGGUCUCGAACUCUUCUCAGGACCCUUUCAGAACUUGAUGAAUGACAGCGAGACUUCCUUCCAGAAAAGUGCACGAUUUGUCUGCAAUUUCGGGAUUCGGCUAGGAAUACGGCUGCAGUCAUGCAGGCUCCUUCAGCCCUUCCUGGAGCACAGAGAGUUGGAUGCCUUGGCAGUGAGAUUUAGUCCCUGCUGAUUGCAGCCCGGCACCUGGGGGAGAACCGGGCCUCAGAAACUGAGCCUGAGAUCCAGGUGGACAGACAGGAGCUGGGUCUAUGCUGACCAGGGUAGAUGGAGAUGCUGGCUGACCAGAGGAGCUUCUGGAGAAAGCUGACAUGCAGGGCUUGGCAUCGUGGAACAGGAUGGGCAGCUUUGGGAACCAAGGGAAAAGUGACAGUCCAGUCUCUCCACCCCGGUUAUUUGUCUGCAGUCCAGCUAGGCCAUUCUUCCAUCCACUGGAUGAAGGUCCUACAGAAAUCAAGGUCCGGGGCUGCCACCAAGCCUUCUGGCUUCUCCAAGGGGCAGCUGGGGCUCAUGGCUUGCUGUCCACAGCCCCUGCCUGCCUCCCACCAAUCCUCCAUUCUGCUGCCAAAACCACCCAGCCAACCCUCAAAUGGAACUGUGUCACAAACCUGGAUUACGGACCCUGCUGGGCUCUCCUCCACAGACUGGAGGCCCACAGAUGGGUUUUUGCUUGUCCUGCAUUGAGAUUUUUAAAAAUCUGGAAGUUGCCCAGCUUCCCUUGAAACACCAGUUGGCUGGUGCUAGUGCAAGGCCUCCUUAGGCAGGUACUUAGGGAACAGUCCUCACCAUUCCCUGUUGUCUCACAUCCAGCCUCCUUCCCUCAUGAAAUGCAAUGUCUGGUGCCUGCAUACUUUUGAGUUUCUCCCGUCUAGUCUACAGGCAAAGGCUAUUGUAGCAUGGCUGGGAGGGAAGGAACAAGGAAAGAAGUGG